UACGGAGGAUGCAAGCGUUAUCCGGAAUGAUUGGGCGUAAAGCGUCCGCAGGUGGCUGUUCAAGUCUGCUGUCAAAGACCGGGGCUUAACUUCGGAAAGGCAGUGGAAACUGAACAGCUAGAGUAUGGUAGGGGCAGAGGGAAUUCCUGGUGUAGCGGUGAAAUGCGUAGAUAUCAGGAAGAACAUCGGUGGCGAAGGCGCUCUGCUGGACCAGAACUGACGCUCAGGGACGAAAGCUAGGGGAGCGAAUGGG
rnacentral:rRNA from 1 species